rnacentral:lncRNA from 1 species
AACUAUUAAAAACCAAAUAAUUCAUUAAAAAUAUUAAAUGAAGUCACAAAAAUAGUUAAAAUUCAAAAUAUGAAGCUAGAUUUUUCAAGAAUUUUUUUGGCAUUGGUCUCAUAUUUUUGUGACUUCAUAUAAAAUAUUUAUGAAUUUUUGAAAAUAAAAGGAAUUAACUGAAAUUAAAACAAAAAUAAGAAAAAUAGAAAAAAU